GACGAACGCUGGCGGCGUGCUUAACACAUGCAAGUCGAACGGAAAGGCCCUUCUCGGGUGGUACGCUCGAGGCGAACGCGUGAGUAACACACGAGUAUCCCGUCCCCUACACUUGGAUAACACUUGGAAACAGGGGCUCAUAUCGCAUAUAAGCUCCUGCUCCACGGUGGGGGGUGGGAAGAUUCGGGGGUUGGGGGGGGACUCGCGGCUUAUAUGCUUGUUUGUGGGGUGGUGGCUUACCAAGGCGUUGACGGGUAUCCGGGCUGAGAGGGUGUACGGCCACAUUGGGACUGGGAUUCGGCCCAGACUCCUACGGGGGGCAGGAGUGGGGAAAAUUGCACAAUGGGUGGGAGCCUGAUGCAGCCACGCCGUGGGCGGGAUGGCGGCCUUCGGGUUGUAAACCGGCUUCGCUCAUGACGGAGCUUUGUGUGACGGUAGUGGGUAAAGAAGCACCGGCUAACUACGUG
rnacentral:rRNA from 1 species